AGCUUCAUCUUGCUGAGCAAAAAUGAAGGAGCCUGGACCCAACUUUGUUACUGCGAGAAAGGGUCUUCAUUCAUUCAAGAUGGCAUUUGUUAAGCACCUACCACAAACCUUGGAAAUCAAGAAAGUUCUGGAAUGAUGAAGCUGUUCAUGCCAAGACCUAAAGUACUGGCCCAGUAUGAGUCCAUUCAGUUCAUGCCAUGGCAGUUUUCCUGGAACUCCUUUUUAUUGUUAGUUCUCAUUUGUUUCCAUAUUUAGUGAACGUACAUUUAAUUGUAAAGCUGUCAUUAAUAAAAAUUCUUAUAGUACCUCA